ACAGAAACGACAGUCUGGACAAAUAAAACCCUCCCAUACGACACUGACUUCUUCAUUCAUCCUCCACUUCUCCCUAUUAUUCUUUUUGUGUCAUUCAUCAACUAUCCAUCUCUCUCUGCACCUGUCUGUCCUUCACCUGUCUGUCUCACUCUGUUGCACUCUCUCAUAUAUAUAUAUAUAUAUACACACACACAAACAUAAAUAUAUUCUGUGCAGCUUGUCCAUAAAUCCAGUAAAGCACACAAAGUUCAAGUGUAAAUUGCACUUCCUUAUUACUAACAGAAAGGCUUCACACACACACACACGCAUACAUGCACGCACGCACACACACACACACACUCCUUUUGCUUGUGUAAGCAUGCUGAUUGACCCAAUAUUGUGGUUCCCCUGAUUACAAGAUCAUAUAUUUGAAAAAAAAAAGAAAAAAAAAGAAAGAAGCUAAACUACAUUUCCCACAAUUCAGUGGGAAGUGUCACAAAACGAGGAAGUUGGUUUGAAUUGCAAAUGUGAAGCGAAUCAGCUGGCCCCAGCGGCGCUUCGAUUUGAAUAAGUACACGAUCAAACAACACCGUUCCACAAAAACAGAUGUGUCCUUUAGAAAAUGUACACAGACAGACACACACACCCUUUCACAUACACACACUUUCUCACACACACACAAAAUGACAUUUAUGCAAACAUAUGUAAAUGUAGACGGACAGAAAUAGAGAUGAAAUGAAGACGCAGCUUCACCGUUUCUCUCUUUGACUUUCUCACGUACAGAACUGUACGUAGCGAACAUUCUGCUUCCCGACUGAUUUUAUAACAUCAAGUCUAAUAUAUAGAAAUAUUUCUAUUUUCUCCUCAUUUACGCAGCUCAAUGUGUCCUUUCUAGCUAAUUUUUCUAAAAAAAAUCUAGCCUCUCAUAGAGCGCUCAUUUCAGUAGAGUUCCUAUUGACUAGUAUUUUGUUUAUCCAACAUUAUAAGUGUAAGCAUUUUGUUUAUAGACAUUAUAAGGUCUAGCAUUUUGUUUAUAGACAUUAUAAGGUGUAGUAUUUUGUUUAUAGACAUUAUAAGGUGUAGUAUUUUGUUUAUAGACAUUAUAAGGUGUAGCAUUUUAUUUAUAGACAUUAUAAGGUGUAGUAUUUUGUUUAUAGACAUUAUAAGGUGUAGUAUUUUGU
ensembl:lncRNA